UGCAGUCGAGCGCGAAGGCUUUCGGGCUGAGUAGAGCGGCGGACGGGUGAGUAACGCGUAGGAAUCUACCUGGUAGUGGGGGACAACUUGGGGAAACUCAAGCUAAUACCGCAUACGCCCUAUGGGGGAAAGCGGGGGACCUUCGGGCCUCGCGCUAUCAGAUGAGCCUGCGUAGGAUUAGCUAGUUGGUGAGGUAAAGGCUCACCAAGGCGACGAUCCUUAGCUGGUCUGAGAGGAUGAUCAGCCACACUGGGACUGAGACACGGCCCAGACUCCUACGGGAGGCAGCAGUGGGGAAUAUUGCGCAAUGGGGGCAACCCUGACGCAGCCAUGCCGCGUGUGUGAAGAAGGCCUUCGGGUUGUAAAGCACUUUCAAUGGGGAAGAAAAGCGUAGCGUUAAUAGCGUUGCGCCGUGACGUUACCCAUAGAAGAAGCACCGGCUAACUCCGUGCCAGCAGCCGCGGUAAUACGGAGGGUGCGAGCGUUAAUCGGAAUUACUGGGCGUAGAGCGCGCGUAGGCGGUUUGUUAAGUCAGCUGUGAAAGCCCCGGGCUUAACCUGGGAACUGCAGUUGAUACUGGCCGACUAGAGUAAGAGAGAGGGAGGUAGAAUUCCAUGUGUAGCGGUGAAAUGCGUAGAUAUAUGGAGGAAUACCGGUGGCGAAGGCGGCCUCCUGGCUCGAUACUGACGCUGAGGUGCGAAAGCGUGGGGAUCAAACAGGAUUAGAUACCCUGGUAGUCCACGCCGUAAACGAUGUCUACUAGCCGUUGGGAGACUUGAUUUCUUAGUGGCGCAGCUAACGCAAUAAGUAGACCGCCUGGGGAGUACGGCCGCAAGGUUAAAACUCAAAUGAAUUGACGGGGGCCCGCACAAGCGGUGGAGCAUGUGGUUUAAUUCGAUGCAACGCGAAGAACCUUACCAGGUCUUGACAUCCAGAGAACUUUCCAGAGAUGGAUUGGUGCCUUCGGGAGCUCUG
rnacentral:rRNA from 1 species